rnacentral:lncRNA from 10 species
CUGAAGGGGCCUUAAAGUGCUGCCAAGCCCUCCUCAUGCCACACCAGCUUCCCUGCAGAGCCAGGAUGGGGACCCCGAUGUCUGCCCUGUGGGCUGGAGCAGGCGGCGACUCUGUCCUGGCUGUGAGAUCUCCUCCACCGCCCCUGACUCCUACCCUGUCAGGCCCACCCCCAGUCUCUUAUCACCGCUGGAGGGGAAUCUGAGCAAUCCCCUACGGGGUGACAACCUGCAACUACAUGGCAUCGUGCACGUGGAUCCACUGCAGCAUGGAGCGGGGUCUGCAUCAGGAAAGACACUCCUCCUCUUCCCCCGGCCGCAGGUGGGCCUCACUGAGAGACCUGGAGAAUGGGUUUGCUGGGGAAGGCAGGCUUCGAAAGCCCCGGGUCAUUGCAGCUGCCUCCCAGCCCAGCUCUCUGCCAGCCUCCCCGUGGGACAUGUUAUAAACAUCAGAG